CCCUUAGAUGUUCUGGGCCGCACGCGCGCUACACUGAUGCAUUCAACGAGUUUCUUCCUGGUCCGAGAGGAAUGGGUAACCUUUUGAAAGUGCAUCGUGAUAGGGAUAGACUAUUGCAAUUAUUGGUCUUCAACGAGGAAUUCCUAGUAGACGUAGUUCAUCAGACUGCAUCGAUUACGUCCCUGCCCUUUGUACACACCGCCCGUCGCUCCGACCGAUUGAAUGCUCAGGUGAGCCAUUCGGACUUUCAUCAUGCUGGUUUCCAGUUUUGAUGAAGGAAAGUCUUGCGAACCUUAUCAUUUAGAGGAAGGAGAAGUCGUAACA
rnacentral:rRNA from 1 species